rnacentral:misc_RNA from 1 species
CAAAAACAAAUAGAGUCUUAAUCGCUUGUUGCAUAAAUACCAGGGGAACAAAACAAGGAAUAAAAGCAAAUAAGGGCACAUUCCAUGCCUCAGCAACCCCAAUAAUGUGAAAUCACUCUAAAUCAAAUUCGCAUACAACAGACAAAUAUCAAGACAGUCGAUGCUAUUAAAGCAAACUAGUGUCCAUAUGGGACAGCUCAUUCCCUCGCCACAAUCACUCCAUCCUACUUGGUAGAUAACACUCAUACCUACAUGGUAGAAGACUGGGGAAUAAAAAAAAAGCAGCAUACAUAUUAUGUAUACAUCCAUACAAACGGCAAGCAUAUGGAUAUGAAUAUGCGGGUAACGAUCUCACCGCAGGAUAAAGUGAAAACAGAAAAAGACUUCCUAAUUGUUUAAGACUCAAAUUACACCUGCAAAGGGAGGAAAUAAAGGUCUGACGUUAACUCUUAUCAUUACUGGUAGUACAUAAGUUGUUGGGUAGCAGCAACAUUCUGAAACCCACCAUCAUAUAUUGCUUGGCUUGCUCCAGCCGCACCCAUUCCCAUUGCUGCUUGUUUAAGAGGGUGUUGCCCCUGAGGGUGCAUCAAGGCAUGGACACCGCCCAUCUUGCCCAUUGCUAGUUGCCGCUCAUAUGCCAAAAGGUCAGUAGCUGAGAGGCCUGGCAAAGGUGCAGCUGCAGGCGGGGGGAGUGGGUUUGAACUUGUCCCUGGUGGAGUGGGCUUGCUACCCCAAGAGCACUACAAGCACAAGAACAGCAUUUGAAAAUCAGUUUCCAAUCGAAAUGUAAAGGGCUCCUUCAAAUUUCUCCCACAUGAAAAUACACCCCUCCUUCCAGGACAUCAAAAUUAUACCUAGAUGCUAGAUACAUAAAGGUAAAAAGUACAAUUUGACAUACCUUUAUUUGUUUGCCAUAAAGAAUUGACUGGGUGUUUCCCAUCUGAAUAGCAAGAGCUGCCUCAGCAUGAGUACCAUACCUCACAAAACCAAAUCCUUUAUCCUGCUGGACUCUGACCUCCUCAAUAACUCCAGCACCAAAAGCAUGGAAGUGGCGGUGGAGAUCAAGCUGGGUAACCUCUGGGGCAAGAUUUCCCACAUAUACAGUUGUAUACUGAGGAUUGUUUUCUGGGGCCUCAUUAUUAGCUGUCUCUUUACCCUCUUCUGAUGCACCAUUUGUUAGUUCCACCACACUUUUAGCAUCAGAGCUUUGUUUGUCAUCAUUGGUACCAGCACCUUUCGUAGCCCAGUUACAACGAAUCUGUCUGCUCCCAAGCCACUUCCCUAAAAAUGAGCCAGACAAAUAAGCAUUAUUGUCAUGUACUGUAUAUGGGUUCAGCAUAAGUAUACUAUGAUUACUAAACUCCACCAGUUCACGUAAUCAAACUGGUAUAAUCCUAUAUCUUGCACCCAGUAAUAUUUAGCAAUAAUAAUUACCCUUUCUCAAUAAGGAGAAAGAGUUGAGAGUGGGUUAAAACUAUUAUAUGUAUAUACCUAUAUUGCUAGUAUUGUAAUGUUAAAUUUUCCUUUUCACCAUUACCAAUUGCAGAGAUAUUCAUAUAUAACUUGCAAAUAAUUUUACAGAAAAUAAAUCAGAAGGCAAAGUGAACAUAACACACUGCCUAUUUCUGAUGUGAAAAAGUGAUUAGGUUGAGAAAAAGUGACUAAUUCAGCAAUUGAACUUUAUUGGAUAAGUGUUAGGGCACAUAAGAGUAAUAAUCCUGAAGCUAAAACAAAUUUCAGUAAUUCCCUUAACCCAUACCUGUUAAGUCAUUUAUUGCACUUUGGGCAUCCUGCUGACUCCUGAAAGAAACAAACCCAAAACCCCUUGAGCGCCCAGUCUUCUGGUCCCACAUAACUCUUGCAUCUGAACAACUACGAUACACAGAGAAGCAUGCAUACAACGUAGCAUCUGUAACUUCAGGGCUUAGAUCACCAACAAAAACAUUGAAAUGACCUGUUGUAUCUUCUCUUUGACUACUAGCAUAAGCCCAGUUGACUUUAAUUGGUUGUCCAAACAGAUGCCUUCCAUUAAGGGUCACAAUGGCAAGAGCAGCUGAUCUGCGAUCAAAGUAAUCAACAAAACCAUAGGAUGACUUCUCUUUCCUAAUCAGCUUAAAUCCUUCAAUGGGUCCAGUGUUUGAGAAAACUUCUUGAAGAAGGGGUUCUGUAACCUGAGGGUGGAUGUUACCUACAUACACACUGCGGCAUGUACUCGAAUCAAAACCAGGAGGCAGAUUUCCACU